rnacentral:rRNA from 1 species
GCCCUUUAGACGGGGACAACAUUCCGAAAGGGAUGCUAAUACCGGAUGUGACGCUCCUAUCGCAUGACGGGAGCGUGAAAGAUGGCCUCUACAUGUAAGCUAUCGCUAAAGGAUGGGCCUGCGUCUGAUUAGCUAGUUGGUAGUGUAACGGACAACCAAGGCGAUGAUCAGUAGCCGGUCUGAGAGGGUGAACGGCCACAUUGGGACUGAGACACGGCCCAG